rnacentral:rRNA from 1 species
CCUACGGGUGGCAGCAGUGAGGAAUCUUGGUCAAUGGACGAAAGUCUGAACCAGCCAUGCCGCGUGCAGGAAGACGGCUCUAUGAGUUGUAAACCGCUUUUGUACGGGAGUAAACGCAGAUACGCGUAUCUCUCUAAAAGUAUCGUACGAAUAAGGUGCGGCUAACUCCGUGCCAGCAGCCGCGUUAAUACGGAAGAUUCAACCGUUAUCCGGAUUUAUUGGGUGUAAAGGGUGUGUAGGCGGUCGGAUAAGUUAGAGGUGAAAGCCCGAGGCUCAACAUCGGAAUUGCCUCUGAUACUGUUGGGCUAGAGAGAAGGAGCGGUAGGCGGAAUGUAUGGUGUAGCAGUGAAAUGCUUAGAGAUCAUAAAGAACACAGAUUGCGAAGGCAGCUUACCAAGC